rnacentral:rRNA from 1 species
GAACAACUCUCAGCAACGGAUAUCUCGGCUCUUGCAUCGAUGAAGAACGCAGCGAAAUGCGAUAAGUGGUGUGAAUUGCAGGAUCCCGUGAACCAUCGAGUCUUUGAACGCAAGUUGCGCCCGAGGCCAUCAGGCCAAGGGCACGCCUGCCUGGGCAUUGCGA